rnacentral:rRNA from 1 species
AAACUGAGGAUAAUACCGGAUAGGCAAUUAUUCCUGCAAUGGUUUUUUGUUUAAAUGUUUUUUCGCCUAAGGAUGGGUCUGCGGCCGAUUAGGUAGUUGGUUAGGUAAUGGCUUACCAAGCCGUUGAUCGGUACGGGUUGUGAGAGCAAGAGCCCGGAGAUGGAACCUGAGACAAGGUUCCAGGCCCUACGGGGUGCAGCAGGCGCGAAACCUCCGCAAUGUGAGAAAUCGCGACGGGGGGAUCCCAAGUGCCAUUCUUAACGGGAUGGCUUUUCAUUAGUGUAAAGAGCUUUUGGAAUAAGAGCUGGGCAAGAUCGGUGCCAGCCGCCGCGGUAACACCGGCAGCUCUAGUGGUAACAAUUUUUAUUGGGCCUAAAGCGUCCGUAGCCGGUUUAAUAAGUCUCUGGUGAAAUCCUGUAGCUUAACUGUGGGAAUUGCUGGAGAUACUAUUAGACUUGAGACCGGGAGAGGUUAGAGGUACUCCCAGCGUAGAGGUGAAAUUCUGUAAUCCUGCGAGGACCGCCUGUUGCGAAGGCGUCUAACUGGAACGGUUCUGACGGUGAGGGACGAUAGUUAUGGGCGCGAACCGGAU